UACAGAGGUCUCAAGCGUUGUUCGGAUUCAUUGGGCGUAAAGGGUGCGUAGGCGGCGCGGUAAGUCGGGUGUGAAAUCUCGGGGCUUAACUCCGAAACUGCAUUCGAUACUGCCGUGCUUGAGGACUGGAGAGGAGACUGGAAUUUAGGUGUAGCGGUGAAAUGCGUAGAUAUCGUAAGGAAGACCAGUGGCGAAGGCGGGUCUCUGGACGAGUUC
rnacentral:rRNA from 1 species